rnacentral:rRNA from 1 species
ACGGGGGCUUCGGCCUUAGUGGCGGACGGGUGAGUAUCGCGUAGGAAUCUAUCCAUGGGUGGGGGAUAACUCUGGGAAACUGGAGCUAAUACCGCAUGACACCUGAGGGUCAAAGGCGCAAGUCGCCUGUGGAGGAGCCUGCGUUCGAUUAGCUUGUUGGUGGGGUAAAGGCCUACCAAGGCGAUGAUCGAUAGCUGGUCUGAGAGGAUGAUCAGCCACACUGGGACUGAGACACGGCCCAG